rnacentral:rRNA from 1 species
UACGGAGGGUGCUAGCGUUGUUCGGAAUCACUGGGCGUAAAGCGCGUGUAGGCGGCCCACUAAGUCUGAUGUGAAAGCCCGGGGCUCACCCCCGGAAGUGCAUUGGAAACUGGUGGACUCGAGUCCCGGAGAGGAGAGUGGAAUUCCUGGUGUAGCGGUGAAAUGCAUAGAUAUCAGGAGGAACACCAGCGGCGAAGGCGGCACUCUGGGCUGGAACUGGCGCUGAGGAGCGAAAGCGUGGGGAGCAAACAGG